ACAAGCGUACACGGUGGAUGCCCUGGCAGUCAGAGGCGAUGAAGGACGUGCUAAUCUGCGAAAAGCGCCGGUGAGGUGAUAUGAACCGUUACAGCCGGCGAUGUCCGAAUGGGGAAACCCAGUGUGAUUCGUCACACUAUCUCAGCAUGAAUACAUAGUGCUGUGAGGCGAACCGGGGGAACUGAAACAUCUAAGUACCCCGAGGAAAAGAAAUCAACCGAGAUUCCCCCAGUAGCGGCGAGCGAACGGGGAACAGCCCAGAGCCUGAAUCAGCUUGUGUGUCAGUGGAACGGUCUGGAAAGGCCGGCGAUACAGGGUGACAGCCCCGUACACGAAGGCACACAGGCUGUGAGCUCGAUGAGUAGGGCGGGACACGUGAUAUCCUGUCUGAAGAUGGGGGGACCAUCCUCCAAGGCUAAAUACUCCUGACUGACCGAUAGUGAACCAGUACCGUGAGGGAAAGGCGAAAAGAACCCCGGCGAGGGGAGUGAAACAGAACCUGAAACCGUGUACGUACAAGCAGUGGGAGCCUUCGUAAGAGGGUGACUGCGUACCUUUUGUAUAAUGGGUCAGCGACUUAUAUUCUGUAGCAAGGUUAACCGUAUAGGGGAGCCGAAGGGAAACCGAGUCUUAAUUGGGCGUUAAGUUGCAGGGUAUAGACCCGAAACCCGGUGAUCUAGCCAUGGGCAGGUUGAAGGUUGGGUAACACUAACUGGAGGACCGAACCGACUAAUGUUGAAAAAUUAGCGGAUGACCUGUGGCUGGGGGUGAAAGGCCAAUCAAACCGGGAGAUAGCUGGUUCUCCCCGAAAGCUAUUUAGGUAGCGCCUCGUGAACUCAUCUUCGGGGGUAGAGCACUGUUUCGGCUAGGGGGCCAUCCCGGCUUACCAACCCGAUGCAAACUACGAAUACCGAAGAAUGUUAUCACGGGAGACACACGGCGGGUGCUAACGUCCGUCGUGAAGAGGGAAACAACCCAGACCGCCAGCUAAGGUCCCAAAGUCAUGGUUAAGUGGGAAACGAUGUGGGAAGGCACAGACAGCCAGGAUGUUGGCUUAGAAGCAGCCAUCAUUUAAAGAAAGCGUAAUAGCUCACUGGUCGAGUCGGCCUGCGCGGAAGAUGUAACGGGGCUAAACCAUGCACCGAAGCUGCGGCAGCGACACUAUGUGUUGUUGGGUAGGGGAGCGUUCUGUAAGCCUGCGAAGGUGUGCUGUGAGGCAUGCUGGAGGUAUCAGAAGUGCGAAUGCUGACAUAAGUAACGAUAAAGCGGGUGAAAAGCCCGCUCGCCGGAAGACCAAGGGUUCCUGUCCAACGUUAAUCGGGGCAGGGUGAGUCGACCCCUAAGGCGAGGCCGAAAGGCGUAGUCGAUGGGAAACAGGUUAAUAUUCCUGUACUUGGUGUUACUGCGAAGGGGGGACGGAGAAGGCUAUGUUGGCCGGGCGACGGUUGUCCCGGUUUAAGCGUGUAGGUGUGUGUUCCAGGUAAAUCCGGUUCACUUUAACACUGAGGCGUGAUGACGAGGCACUACGGUGCUGAAGUAACAAAUGCCCUGCUUCCAGGAAAAGCCUCUAAGCAUCAGGUAACAUCAAAUCGUACCCCAAACCGACACAGGUGGUCAGGUAGAGAAUACCAAGGCGCUUGAGAGAACUCGGGUGAAGGAACUAGGCAAAAUGGUGCCGUAACUUCGGGAGAAGGCACGCUGACAUGUAGGUGAAGCCCCUGCGGGUGGAGCUGAAGUCAGUCGAAGAUACCAGCUGGCUGCAACUGUUUAUUAAAAACACAGCACUGUGCAAACACGAAAGUGGACGUAUACGGUGUGACGCCUGCCCGGUGCCGGAAGGUUAAUUGAUGGGGUUAUCGCAAGAGAAGCUCCUGAUCGAAGCCCCGGUAAACGGCGGCCGUAACUAUAACGGUCCUAAGGUAGCGAAAUUCCUUGUCGGGUAAGUUCCGACCUGCACGAAUGGCGUAAUGAUGGCCAGGCUGUCUCCACCCGAGACUCAGUGAAAUUGAACUCGCUGUGAAGAUGCAGUGUACCCGCGGCAAGACGGAAAGACCCCGUGAACCUUUACUACAGCUUGACACUGAACAUUGAGCCUUGAUGUGUAGGAUAGGUGGGAGGCUUUGAAGCGUGGACGCCAGUCUGCGUGGAGCCAACCUUGAAAUACCACCCUUUAAUGUUUGAUGUUCUAACCUGGCGCCCUAAUCGGGCGUGGGGACAGUGUCUGGUGGGUAGUUUGACUGGGGCGGUCUCCUCCCAAAGUGUAACGGAGGAGCACGAAGGUCAGCUAAUCCUGGUCGGACAUCAGGAGGUUAGUGCAAUGGCAUAAGCUGGCUUGACUGCGAGAGUGACGGCUCGAGCAGGUGCGAAAGCAGGUCAUAGUGAUCCGGUGGUUCUGUAUGGAAGGGCCAUCGCUCAACGGAUAAAAGGUACUCCGGGGAUAACAGGCUGAUACCGCCCAAGAGUUCAUAUCGACGGCGGUGUUUGGCACCUCGAUGUCGGCUCAUCACAUCCUGGGGCUGAAGUAGGUCCCAAGGGUAUGGCUGUUCGCCAUUUAAAGUGGUACGCGAGCUGGGUUUAGAACGUCGUGAGACAGUUCGGUCCCUAUCUGCCGUGGGCGCUGGAGAAUUGAGGGGGGCUGCUCCCAGUACGAGAGGACCGGAGUGGACGCAUCACUGGUGUUCGGGUUGUCAUGCCAAUGGCACUGCCCGGUAGCUAAAUGCGGAAGAGAUAAGUGCUGAAAGCAUCUAAGCACGAAACUUGCCCCGAGAUGAGUUCUCCCUGACUCCUUGAGAGUCCUGAAGGAACGUUGAAGACGACGACGUUGAUAGGCCGGGUGUGUAAGCGCAGCGAUGCGUUGAGCUAACCGGUACUAAUGAACCGUGAGGCUUAACC
rnacentral:rRNA from 1 species